AAUGAACGCUGGCGGCGUGCCUAACACAUGCAAGUCGCGCGCGAAGGGGGGCAACCCCCGGAGAGCGGCGGACGGGUGAGUAACACGUGGGUAACCUGUCUGGGAGCGUGGGAUAACCUGGGGAAACUCGGGCUAAUACCGCAUACGACCGCGGGUCUACGGAUCCGCGAGGAAAGGUGGCCUCUGCUUGCAAGCUACCACUCCCUGAGGGGCCCGCGGCUGAGUAGCUAGUUGGUGAGGUAACGGCUCACCAAGGCGACGAUCAGUAGCCGGCCUGAGAGGGCGAUCGGCCACACUGGAACUGAGACACGGUCCAGACUCCUACGGGAGGCAGCAGCGAGGAAUCUUGCGCAAUGGGCGAAAGCCUGACGCAGCAACGCCGCGUGGAGGAUGAAGGUCUUCGGAUUGUAAACUCCUGUCAGACGGGACGAACGGUCCUGGCCCAACACGCCAGGCUCUUGACGGUACCGUCAGAGGAAGCCACGGCUAACUCUGUGCCAGCAGCCGCCGUAAGAC
rnacentral:rRNA from 1 species